rnacentral:rRNA from 1 species
GAUGAACGCUGGCGGCGUGCCUAAUACAUGCCAGUCGAGCGAACAGACGAGGAGCUUGCUCCUCUGACGUUAGCGGCGGACGGGUGAGUAACACGUGGAUAACCUACCUAUAAGACUGGGAUAACUUCUGGAAACCGGAGCUAAUACCGGAUAAUAUAUUGAACCGCAUGGUUCAAUAGUGAAAGACGGUUUUGCUGUCACUUAUAGAUGGAUCCGCGCCGCAUUAGCUAGUUGGUAAGGUAACGGCUUACCAAGGCGACGAUGCGUAGCCGACCUGAGAGGGUGAUCGGCCACACUGGAACUGAGACACGGUCCAGACUCCUACGGGAGGCAGCAGUAGGGAAUCUUCCGCAAUGGGCGAAAGCCUGACGGAGCAACGCCGCGUGAGUGAUGAAGGUCUUCGGAUCGUAAAACUCUGUUAUUAGGGAAGAACAAAUGUGUAAGUAACUAUGCACGUCUUGACGGUACCUAAUCAGAAAGCCACGGCUAACUACGUG